AGCUGAACCAAGUACAAUGUGUUUAAAAUUAAUUGAUGAUAACCAGUAACAUAUUUCUUUAUUCCUUCUUAACUCUCACUGCUUCAUUUGACUAGCCUUAA
rnacentral:Y_RNA from 1 species